rnacentral:rRNA from 1 species
AACGUAGGACGCAAGCGUUAUCCGGAGUUACUGGGCGUAAAGCGCGAGCAGGCGGUUCGACAAGUUCGCUGUGAAAGCUCCCGGCUCAACCGGGCGAGGCCAGUGGAAACUAUCGAGCUGGAGGGCAGUAGAGGCAGGCGGAAUUCCGGGUGGAGUGGUGAAAUGCGUAGAGAUCCGGAGGAACACCAGAGGCGAAGGCGGCCUGCUGGGCUGCACCUGACGCUGAGCCGCGAAAGCCAGGGGAGCGAACGGG